AUUUUUUUAUAUGAAAGCGUAAAAGGGUCAUAAUUUUGAGGUGUCUUUUAAAAAAAGACGUUCAAGGUUUUCAUUAAGAUUUGAUUUUUUCUCACCGAUAUCCCUUUUUAUCCAUCAUUUUUGACAUGUUUAAUUUUUUUCUACGACGGAAAUGUCAUUAUUUUAGGGAUGAAGACAUAGGUUCAUGCCACGCUAGUUUGAGGAGUCAGGAAUAAAAAUUCUUAUAUAGAAUGAUAUAUCACCAGUACUGUUCAAAGGCCGCCAAAAUUGAGAUUAAAGUAUGCCCAAACAUACACAGCAGAAGAGACUUAUGAUGGUGGAUAUGCUAGGAGGGACCCAUAUGCUGAGGAAGCUUACCAAGAACCAGUUGCUGCUGCUGGGUUGGAGAGAAUAUAAAGCACUACUGGUUUUCCACUGAGUGGGAUAACGACCACUUCUGUGGAAACUAAAGUUCCUUUACCAAAACAGGAUCUACGCUGGAAUAAUCCAAAACUUGGUUUUGGCUAAGAUUGUUUAAAUAGAAUUUUAUUAUCUUGGAUGCAGUACACUCAUUUCGUAUGGUUUCGUUCGUUAAAGUGAGCACUGUUAACAUACGGCUCUUGUUCUUAUCGUGACUAUCGAAGAUCAAAGUCGCAAUUAACUUGUUGAUGUAAUGAAACUGGCUUAGUGGUCUACUCGUCAAGACAACAUGUUAAUCCCCACAGUUCCACUUGCAAAGGCACUGAUCAAGGCCACAACUGAAGAUCAAACAUUCAUAUCCAAAAUCCAAUGAAGGAUAAUAUAGAGUGGUGUAAUGUAUAUAAAAAGAACCACUGGGAUAGAAAUCUCACUUGGGUGUAUAUAAUUGUGUCCCCACUAUGAGUGGUGGGGCAUAUAGAUUUGGUCUUUUCCGUGCGUCUGUCCGUUCGAACAGUUUCUGACGCACCUAACUCAAAAUGUAUUUGAUAUAAAUUGAUGAAACCUUGCACGAGUCUUUAUCAUAUGAACUUGUGUACUUAUUUAUCGUCUGGAUCCGCCCCCUAUUUCCAGAGUUAUGGCCCCUGAAAUAGUCAAAAAUGCACAUUUUCACCUUGUGAUGGGACAGUGCACCUUUGGCAUUCUUCUUGAGAUUUUAGGGCUAAUUACAGAGUUAGGGCCCUUAAAAUAGCCAAAAUAUCGGAUUUUUUUUGUUUGUCACGGAUGCUCGUAGCUCAAAGAUACUAUGUCCUACGUAGGCGAUACUAACUCCUACAUAGGAGAUACUUAGACCUGCGUAGGAGAUACUAACUCCUACGUACGAGAUACUAAGUCAUACGUAGGAACUACUAUGUUCUACGCAGGAGAUACUAACUCCUACGUAGGAGAUACUAAGUCCUUCGUAGGAGAUACUAUGUCCUACGUAGCAGAUACCAACUCCUACGUAGAAGAUACUAAGUCCUACGUAGGAGAUAGUUAGUCCUACGGAAGACAAAUUUAAAUCUCCCUACUGGCACCAAGACGCUGUCAUAUAGGAGCGAUGCAGGUCAGAUAAAUGAAUUCACGCCCUGUAAAUUCCCGAUGAAAUAAUAGGUUUCCCGUGAUUAAAUAACACGGUUUCCGUUUUAGUACUCAUAAAUAUGUGAGUUAGUGAUUAGGUAUUAACUAAAGCCGUAUCAGAUAUCAGCGCAGGAUGUGGGUUCGAAACCCUGCUUGGAAAAUAGAAUUCUUUCAUGAAGGAGCUAUCCAGAUAGCUUGUUCUGUCCAGGUCCCCGCCGUGCCAGAAUUAAUGUCCGGACGUACAUCACCAUUAGAGCUGGAAAGUAACUCCUAACCUACAGAGAUUGCCAGUUGAAUUCUCCCAAGAAGCAACGCAUCCUCGAUUUCCAGUACCCGACGCCGACAAUAUUGUUGCCCAAACUUCUAAGUUUGAUAGCAAGCUGUUGAAAUCAUCGAUUAAGGAACGCUAGUCCGAUAGACAAAAGUUCUUUAUGACCGGCUACUACGAAACAAGUCGAAAGAAUUCCAUCAUAUCCUGGCAUUAACUGACUGCGGCGUGCGAUAAAACCCGGUUAACAAGUCAAGGUUAUUCAUCAUGUGAGCAUCAGCUGAUAAAUAGGGGAAACCCAAGCAUGUCAAGUGUUUUACACCAAAAUAUUUAUGAACUUUGUGCAAGUUUAUCACGUCUUAGGAUAUGCAAAAUAAACUGAUUUGUUUUUGUGUUUGCAAUAUUUUGUAAUCAGGUGCCAAAUUAUGGUGUAAAGAUUUUAUACAUCAUCAACUUUUUAAUAACAUGUAAUUAACUUAUGGUGGCUGAUUUCAAGUUAUGGAUUUGCAAAAAAAUGUGGGUACACGUUCAAACGCACAACAAACAGCAGUCCAGUCCUGAAUGCAGACAUUUAAAUGCAUGUUGAACACAAAUAGGAAAAUGUAUAUUAGAUUUUUCAAGACAACUGGUAAAAUACAGAAAUUGCAACAAUAGAAAUAAAAUAUGAGAGAUGCAAGUGCAGUAAAAGUAUCUUUUUGCUACCUUUAGUUUGACAUUAGAACAAUAACAAAUGUUUAAAGAUGGGGAGGGUGUCAUUUAAUUAAUACGUUUGCACAAUUUAGUCAGCACACGUUAGAUUGUAUGUAGUGGAUCUCAUCUUGUAUGUUGGAGUUUAUCCAUAUUUUGCUUCCUAACAUUCUUAAAGAAAUUGGAUAACUGUGUUUGGGCAGGGUUGGGCUGAUAUCAGCUCCAUUCCUCUUUUUCACCUUGGUGUUUUCAUCAGAGCAAGUAGGAUAAAAAAAACAGCCCAGAGACAACAACAAGGGAAAGCAAAAAUACUACAAAAUUUCCAUAUUAUCACUGCGGUCUGAUGGUAUUAGCAUGAUUAUAAACUCGGCAACACUUCACUUUUAUAACCGCAACAUGCGGUUUAAACUAUAGUUGCCUUUCCAACCCCUCAAUGAAAUGAAAAAGAAAAUAUUAUUUAUCAUAAAUGAACUUGAAAGCAUAUCUUACAUAGGCUAGUGACAAGAUCUAUACUCUGAACAUUUAUUAUCACUUUAAUUCGAACUUUACAUUAUAACUAAUAAUAGCAGUGAAUCGAUGAAAUAACGAAAUCUUAGUGGUUUUCCUAUGUGGUUUUCCUGCGUUACCAAAUCGAUUAAAUGCACGUUCAAUGUACUAUUACAAAACCCUGGUCCAUAGUUUGAUUUGCAGAAGAAAUUAUGAAAUGUCAUGUAAUAAAACACUUAAUGAAUGGCUUGCCGAUCAAAAGUGAAUACUAUUGCCCUUAGGUUCUUUGGACUUUGUGCAAUAAGUUUGAUUAUUGACCAGCAAAACAUUCAAUAUCAGUAAAUAUAUAAUAUCAUGCAAUCAUUAGCUGUAUGUUGAUCUCAAAAUUAAAAUUUUACCAUUAACGUGAAUAAAACAUGCUCUAUUUUUAAAUGUACUAACUCGGAAAUAAACUAGAAUACAUCUAGAAAGAUAAAUUAUCUGUUAUACAUUCGCCUACUUUGCAAUUUAUAUAAAAAAAAAUAUGGUUAAACCAGCCACGUGAGCAAAUGGUUUGAAGUAAAUAUUGUUUGUUUGUUAACAACAUUA